UGGACACCUUGAGUGGCGCUGUCCACGCCCAGGCAAAUGGCAACAUGGACGAUUUUUUUCCCAAAACUGUCCUGGCCGAGAAAAUCAUGAAAUUAAUCCUCGAAGAGUCCAUGGAGGCCCUGGUCAGCACCGUGCGGCAGCAAGCCAUGCUUUGCGUUGUGGCCCUGAGGUGCCUGGGUCCCCGAGGCCAGAGCAUUGGGGUUGAGGGGCACGGCAAGCUUGGGGCCCCGAGUUCUGGGCUGCAGGGGCAGGGCCCAUGACUGCCACCUCGCCUCCCAGCCUUCUGUGGUAGGGUACCCCCAACUCUCACUGUUAGAAAGCUGUUAAGGCAUCAGUGUGGGGAAGGCUCCCAGAGAUACCAAGACCCCCUUCCCUGCGGGGAAGUGUGUGAAGGCCCAGCAAGAGGGCAGAGCAGAAUGCGCCGCCCGCCGGCCCUGGACACUAACCUGUGCUCCAGAGGCCCCCGUGGCCCCUCCCUCCCCUCCCUCACAGCCAGGUGAACCCGCCGCUCCACCUGUCCCAGAAGCUGGACCUGGCCACUGCCGGCAUCUCCAGCAUCAUCUCUCUGCCGCUCAUCAUGCCCAGCCUGGACCGCAAGGAAAGCGCCAGCCUCUACCUCCAGACGAUCCAGGCCUUGGACGACAUGUUACAGGCUCUCGUGAUGGAGGAUCUGGAGCCGAGCAUGGCCUUCC